GACGAACGUUGGCGGCGUGCUUAAUACAUGCAAGUCCACUGAAGCAGUGGUAGCAAUAUCGCUGUGGAGGUGGCGCACGGGUGAGUAACACGUAGGUAAUCUGCCUUCAGGUCUGGCAUAACUCCGGGAAACCGGGGCUAAUAGCAGAUGAUGCAGCGGCUCGACAUCGAGACAGUUGUUAAAGCUAUGGCGCCUGAAGAUGAGCCUGCGUCUGAUUAGCUAGUUGGCGGGGUAACGGCCCACCAAGGCAACGAUCAGUAGCUGGUCUGAGAGGAUGAUCAGCCUCACUGGAACUGAGACACGGUCCAGACUCCUACGGGAGGCAGCAGUAAGGAAUAUUGCUCAAUGGGAGAAAUCCUGAAGCAGCAACGCCGCGUGAGGGACGAAGGGCUUUUGCUUGUAAACCUCUGUAGUGAGAGAAAAAAAUCCCAAUCUUUGGGACAUGAUGGUAUCUCAAAAGUAAGCCCCGGCUAACUACGUG
rnacentral:rRNA from 1 species